UACGUAGGGGGCAAGCGUUGUCCGGAUUUAUUGGGCGUAAAGAGCGUGUAGGCGGCCUUACAGGUCAGCUGUGAAAACUCGAGGCUCAACCUCGAGAGGUCGGUUGAAACCGUAAGGCUAGAGUCCGGAAGAGGAGAGUGGAAUUCCCGGUGUAGCGGUGAAAUGCGCAGAUAUCGGGAAGAACACCCGUGGCGAAGGCGGCU
rnacentral:rRNA from 1 species